rnacentral:rRNA from 1 species
AUACGUAGGGGGCGAGCGUUGUCCGGAAUCAUUGGGCGUAAAGCGCGCGCAGGCGGUCCCUUAAGUCUGAUGUGAAAUCUUGCGGCUCAACCGCAAGAGGUCAUUGGAAACUGGGGGACUUGAGUGCAGGAGAGGGAAGCGGAAUUCCAUGUGUAGCGGUGAAAUGCGUAGAGAUAUGGAGGAACACCAGUGGCGAAGGCGGCUUCCUGGCCUGUAACUGACGCUCAGGCGCGAAAGCGUGGGGAGCAAACAGGAUUAGAUACCCUGGUAGUCCACGCCGUAAACGAUGAGUGCUAGGUGUUGGAGGGGUUUACCCUUCAGUGCUGGAGCUAACGCAUUAAGCACUCCGCCUGGGGAGUACGGCCGCAAGGCUGAA